CAGGCUGGAGAGCCCUGUGGCCUCCUGCCUCAGCCUGCUGCCAGCGCUGGUCCUCCCAGAGAGGCUGCAGGGGAAGAGGUUUUGGGCCUCUGCUGAUUUCAGAUGAAGACGACUGUCCUGGUCAUUCCCCUGGAGAACUGUGACCAUUUUAGAAACAGGGCCGAGUACACCCCCUACAAAUGUGUGUCUGCUAAAGAAUUCCUUGCCUCGGAUAGAGCCACCCCAAAGCGCUCUUUAUGGCGUACUGGAAAUAUUCAGUGCCCCGCUCACUGGGAAGGGCUGUGGACCCUCGCCUCCUUGGCCAUUCCCAGUGCACGUCGAGAGGGUCAAGGCCCUUCCACAGUAAGGAGAAGGAACUAAAUUUCUCUGUCCAACUAAUGACCAUGGAACUGAAAAUGGAUCUACUAAAAUGCUAAGAUGGCUUCAUUUUCUUCCUAGAUUGGUGGCACCCAUCGCCUACAAGCACUGAGGACACCAGGCCCACUGCUACCCAAGAUGUGGCAUCACCAACAGAUGCUCAAAUCUCUUCCACUAUCCCAGAUUGGUGGCACCCAUCGCCUACAAGCACCGAGGGUAAGUAUCACUUUUUUCUACCUGGACCGUCGGGCAUGGAUGUCUUAGUCCAUGCUUGGCUGUCCAUGCAGCAGAUGCCUACAAAGGCACAGCCCAUCUCAUCCUGCUCGCACAGCCGGCCCUGGCUGCCCCUCCACACCCUGCACCCAGCGUGGGCACACCCAGCCCACAUCCAGGCUGUGCACGUGCAGCCUUUG